rnacentral:ncRNA from 1 species
AGCAUAGCGCCGGGACCGCAAUACCUCUUGGCGGUCGACGAGGAGAAGGUCAUCGAAAGAUUCGGCGGAUACCUUCCGUUCGGCGGCGAGCGUAAGAUAACGGUCAAAAACCGCGGGCGACCGCUAAACAAAGCCGUUA